GGUAUUGCUCUAAUCUCUUUUAUUUGGCUUGGGCAGUGGGUAUGUAUGAAGAUUGGCUUAAAUUGGCUUUGGGUUUUGUUGGAUUGAAGUUUAAUUUCGAAUUGGCAGUGGGUUUAUUUGAAUUGAAGUUUGGGCAGUUGGUUUAUUGAGUUGGGCAGUGGGUUUAUUGAAUUGGCAGUGGGUAUUUCUUAGUAUUUUGUUGAAUUGGGCAGUGGGUUUAUUGAAUUGGGCAGUUGAUUUAUUUGAAUUGAAGUUUGAUUUAUGUUUUUUAUUUGAAUUGGCAGCCAUGAAUACUACAAAUUCUAGUUCUACAUCUUCUUCUACCACAUCCCCUGUUAUUGGUGAUUUUCGAAAAUCAUUGUGGAGAUAUGUUAAACGACAUGGUAACAUAGGAGGUGGUGGCGGUGGAGUUUAUUGGGAAUGCAAUUUUUGUGGAGUAAGGAAGAAGACAACAUAUACUCGAGUUAUGUAUCAUUUGAUGAAGAUACGUAAUAAAGGGAUAGCUAUUUGCCCGAAAGUAACUGAAGCAGAUUUGAUGGAAAUGCAGAAGUUAAUAGAUGAAGAAGUGAGAAUGUUGACUACUAGUGCUCCUAAAUCAGUUCCGCUGCCGCCUACGCAGCCCCUAGCUCACUCAAAUGAGCUCUAUACAAGUUACAUGACGAAGAAAAGAAAGGGGAGUGAAGGGAGCUCAUCGACUCUUGAGAAGGCAUUCAAUGUCCAAGGUAAGAGGACGUUGGAUGCUAUGAUUGCAAGAUUGUUCUAUUCUUCGGGUUUGCCAUUUCAUUUGGCAAGAAACUCUUACUACAGGAGCAGCUACACUUAUGCAACAACCAACAAUUUGGCUGGUUAUGUGCCACCUGGGUACAAUACUUUGAGGACGCAUUUACUUGAGCAGGAGAGAGCAAAUGUUGAGCGUCUGUUGGAGCCGAUCAAGACAACAUGGGCUGAGAAAGGGAUAAGUAUUGUGAGUGAUGGAUGGAGUGAUUCACAAAGAAGGCCACUGAUCAAUUUCAUGGCUGUCACUGAGAGUGGGCCUAUGUUUUUGAAGGCCGUGGAUUUUUCUGGGGAGGUUAAAGAUAAAUUCUUUAUCUUUAACCUCAUGAAGGAGGUGAUUGAAGAUGUUGGACCUCAAAAUGUGGUUCAAGAAUGCGAAAAAUUGUCAAGCAGCUGGGCUCCUUGUUGAAGGAACAUAUCCUAAGAUUGUGUGGACACCAUGUGUUGUGCAUACGCUCAACUUGGCACUUCAGAACAUAUGCGCCGCAAAGAACGUUUAAAACAAUCAAGAGACAUAUGGAUUGUGUUCUUGGAUAUCUGAUGUUUCUUCAGAUGCUAACAUGAUCAAGAACUUCAUCAUGAAUCAUGGAAUGCGCUUGGUAAUGUUCAACAAAUUUGUUCCUUUGAAGUUGCUUUCGAUUGCUGCAACUCGAUUUGCUUCAGUUAUUGUGAUGUUGAAGCGUCUCAAGCUUAUCAAGAGAUGUUUACUUGAGUUGGUAAUUAGUGAGCAAUGGGAAGCAUAUCGAGAGGAUGAUGUUGAGAAGGCGAGCAAUGUUAAAAUGAAAGUAUUAGAUGACACUUGGUGGGAUAAGGUUGACUAUAUACUUUCAUUUACGGCUCCUUUGUAUGAGAUGCUUCGUGCUUGUGACACAGACAAGCCAUGUCUUCACUUAGUCUAUGACAUGUGGGAUACUAUGAUUGAGAAGGUAAAGCAGGCGAUCUACAAGCAUGAAAGACUUCAACCAGAGCAGACAAGCAACUUCUAUGAUGUUGUUCAUACGAUCUUAGUUAGUCGUUGGAACAAAAACAACACACCCCUUCAUUGUUUGGCUCAUUCCCUCAAUCCGAGAUAUUAUAGCCACGAAUGGCUUUCAGAGGACUCCUCCCGAGUUGCACCACAUAGGGAUCCAGAAGUUGCCAAGGAAAGAAUCAACUGUUUGAAGAAAUACUUUCCUCUCAUGUCUGAGAGAAGAGUUGUAGCACAGGAGUUUGCUAACUUCUCUAGCAUGGCUGGUGAUUUUUCUGACUCUGAUUCGAUUGCACAAUGUUAUGAUAUGGAUCUCAAGAGUUGGUGGGUUACAUAUGGCACAAGUGCACCUGCACUUCAAUGUUUAGCAUUGAAGUUACUUGUGCAACCCUCAUCCUCAUCAUGUGCUUAGAGGAAUUGGAGCACAUACUCGUUCAUCCACUCUUUGAG